CGAGAGAAAGAGAAGAGGGCGAAUGAAAAAGAGGAGAUCACAUUACAAAAAUCAGGUUUAAUAACGACAACGCUUUAAUGACAGGCUUAAUCUCGUCCUAUAUGUAAGGCUUUUAAAGACAGGAUAUUUGGCCUGUCAUAAACCCUUGCUCAACUUAAAAACCCAGUCCAAAUAUAUCACUCAACUUAUUUAAAGUAACAGUAAAACAAAAACUACUCCCAACCCAACUUUCUCUCUCCUAUCCAUUUCACUGUCUUCCCCUUUUCGCAGUAAUUACGUCAUUUUCUCUCUCCUCUUUCUCUCUCAAAUUACCAGAGUUCAUUCAAUGGCUUGAAGAUAAACUACGGUUUUUCAACUCGCACUAUCUGAUUGAUUUUGGAUGCGCCUUCAUUACAGAAUACUUUUUACUUGAAUUUGGUUUAAUCAUUCAGAAGAGGUGGAAAUAAGUAAGAUUUAGGUAUUUUCUUAAAUGCUUUUGGUAUAUUCAUUAUUAUUUUCUUAUUCGUUUUGUCUUGUUUUGUUUUGUUUAUCAUCUUUUUUGCUCUUAUGAAGGAAACCAUAGUGAAAGCUAUUGAAGAGAAAAUCUACAGUGAGCAACAGUGUUAUCUUCUGUAUGAGCAACUCAAGUCCAUUAUAAAGUUUGUUGAGUGAGACAACUAGCAACGCAGUAGGGGGUUGUCAAUCCGGUGGGUGGUGGUCGGAUUCAAUCAGAUUUGGUACGGUAGCGUCGUGGCAUAUUGGCGGCAUGAGUAAAAAAUAUAGCGGAAAAUUUGGCAGUAAAACUUCAAUUAUUGUGUAAAUUUAACAUUCAAUGACUGAAUUGGCUUAAGUAUGGUAUAAAUUUAACAAUUCAAUGACUCAAUUAG